GUCGGAGAUGUUGGGUUAAGUCCCGCAACGAGCGCAACCCCUACGUUUAGUUGCUAACGCGUGAAGGCGAGCACUCUAGACGAACUGCCGUUGACAAAACGGAGGAAGGUGGGAUGACGUCAAAUCAUCAUGCCCCUUAUGUUCUGGGCUACACACGUGCUACAAUGGCCGGUACAGACGGACGCAAAGCCGCGAGGUGGAGCAAAUCCUAAAAAGCCGGUCUCAGUUCGGAUUGCAGGCUGCAAUUCGCCUGCAUGAAGUCGGAAUCGCUAGUAAUCGCAGGUCAGCAUACUGCGGUGAAUACGUUCCCGGGCCUU
rnacentral:rRNA from 1 species